ACUCAUUGUUUGACAUCUCUGUUUUUUCCUGCUUUUGCUUUAUUUUUUAGCUGCAGUGUUUUCACAGACUCUUUUCUCUUUUUGGAGGCAGUCUGAUUGGUUCCCUUCCAGGAUUCCUAUAAAACAGCUGUAUGAAAUUCAGCAACCACCGGCUGUUCUCUUUUGUACCAGAAUGACCAGAGAGGUGAAUGAUUGGAUGCAGGACACAGACUACCUUCUGCUAAUCUGAUAGUAAGUGUAGUAACUGUUAAUUAUGGUUUUAAAGUGUUUUACAACAGUCUUGCAUAGGGGUGGGAAUCACA
rnacentral:lncRNA from 1 species